rnacentral:rRNA from 1 species
UCCCUACGGGGCGCAGCAGUGGGGAAUAUUGCACAAUGGGGGGAACCCUGAUGCAGCGACGCCGCGUGAGUGAAGAAGUAUCUCGGUACGUAAAGCUCUAUCGGCAGGGAAGAAAAUGACGGUACCUGACUAAGAAGCCCCGGCUAACUACGUGCCAGCAGCCGCGGUAAUACGUAGGGGGCAAGCGUUAUCCGGAUUUACUGGGUGUAAAGGGAGCGUAGACGGUGCAGCAAGUCUGAUGUGAAAGGUCGGGGCCCAACCCCGGGACUGCAUUGGAAACUGUUGAACUGGAGUACAGGAGAGGG